AGUGAACGCUGGCGGUAGGCCUAACACAUGCAAGUCGAACGGCAGCACAGUAAGAGCUUGCUCUUACGGGUGGCGAGUGGCGGACGGGUGAGGAAUACAUCGGAAUCUACUUUUUCGUGGGGGACAACGUAAGGAAACUUACGCUAAUACCGCAUACGACCUACGGCUGAAAGCAGGGGAGCUUCGGACCUUGCGCGACUGAAUGAGCCGAUGUCGGAUUAGCUAGUUGGCGGGGUAAAGGCCCACCAAGGCUACGAUCCGUAGCUGGUCUGAGAGGAUGAUCAGCCACACUGGAACUGAGACACGGUCCAGACUCCUACGGGAGGCAGCAGUGGGGAAUAUUGGGCAAUGGGCGCAAGCCUGAUCCAGCCAUGCCGCGUGGGUGAAGAAGGCCUUCGGGUUGUAAAGCCCUUUUGUUGGGAAAGAACAGCAGCAGGUUAAUCCCCCGCUGUUCUGACGGUACCCAAAGAGUAAGCCCCGGCUAACUUCGUG
rnacentral:rRNA from 1 species